UCAUUGUCCACAACUUUCUUUUUUUUCUUUGCAUCAACACCAUUGUUACCAUAAGCUGAAAUGUUAGGUCUUGAUUCAAAAUCUUUUGUGACUUUCUUUUUUGCCUCUUCAUCAACAUUGUUGCCACCAUAAGCUGAAACAUUAGGUCUUGGUUCAAAAUCUUUCAUGAUUUUUUUCUUUUUCUCUGCACCAACAUUAUUGUCACCAUAAGCUGAAACGUUAGGUCUUGGUUCAAAAUCUUUCAUGACUUUUUUCUUUUCUUUUGCACUAACAUUAUUGUCACCAUAAGCUGAAACGUUAGGUCUUGGUUUAAAAUCUUUCAUGACUUUUUUCUUUUCCUUUGUAUUAACAUCAUCAUCACCAUAAGUUGAAACUUUAGGUAUUGGCUCAAAAUCUUUCAUGAUUUUCUUUUCUUCCACUGCUUCAAUGUCAUUGUCAUUGUAAGAUGAAACAUUGGGUCUUGGAUCAAAAUCUUUCGUGACACUUUUCUUUGGCUUAGCAUCAAC
rnacentral:lncRNA from 1 species